rnacentral:rRNA from 1 species
GACGAACGCUGGCGGCGUGCCUAAUACAUGCAAGUAGAACGCUGAAGGAGGAGCUUGCUUCUCUGGAUGAGUUGCGAACGGGUGAGUAACGCGUAGGUAACCUGCCUGGUAGCGGGGGAUAACUCUUGGAAACGCUAGCUCAUACCGCAUAAUAGUAGAUGUCGCAUGACAUUUUCUUAAAAGGUGCACUUGCAUCACUACCAGAUGGACCUGCGUUGUAUUAGCUAGUUGGUGAGGUAACGGCUCACCAAGGCAACGAUACAUAGCCGACCUGAGAGGGUGAUCGGCCACACUGGGACUGAGACACGGCCCAGACUCCUACGGGAGGCAGCAGUAGGGAAUCUUCGGCAAUGGACGGAAGUCUGACCGAGCAACGCCGCGUGAGUGAAGAAGGUUUUCGGAUCGUAAAGCUCUGUUGUAAGAGAAGAACGAGUGUGAGAGUGGAAAGUUCACACUGUGACGGUAGCUUACCAGAAAGGGACGGCUAACUACGUG